GUCCACGCCGUAAACGAUGGGCACUAGGUGUGGGAGGUGUCGACUCCUCCCGUGCCGUAGCUAACGCAUUAAGUGCCCCGCCUGGGGAGUACGGCCGCAAGGCUAAAACUCAAAGGAAUUGACGGGGGCCCGCACAAGCAGCGGAGCAUGUGGUUUAAUUCGACGCAACGCGAAGAACCUUACCUGGGCUUGACAUGUCGGUCGUACCUGUGGAAACACAGGGUCAGUUCGGCUGGACCGUCACAGGUGGUGCAUGGCUGUCGU
rnacentral:rRNA from 1 species